GACGAACGCUGGCGGCGUGCUUAACACAUGCAAGUCGAACGGAAAGGCCCUUCUUUUGUGGGGUGCUCGAGUGGCGAACGGGUGAGUAACACGUGAGUAACCUGCCCUUGACUUUGGGAUAACUUCAGGAAACUGGGGCUAAUACCGGAUAGGAGCUCCUGCUGCAUGGUGGGGGUUGGAAAGUUUCGGCGGUUGGGGAUGGACUCGCGGCUUAUCAGCUUGUUGGUGGGGUAGUGGCUUACCAAGGCGUUGACGGGUAGCCGGCCUGAGAGGGUGAACGGCCACAUUGGGACUGAGAUACGGCCCAGACUCCUACGGGAGGCAGCAGUGGGGAAUAUUGCACAAUGGGCGGAAGCCUGAUGCAGCAACGCCGCGUGCGGGAUGACGGCCUUCGGGUUGUAAACCGCUUUCGCCUGUGACGAAGCGUGAGUGACGGUAAUGGGUAAAGAAGCACCGGCUAACUACGUG
rnacentral:rRNA from 1 species